GCCAGGCACUGUGGCCCAUGCCUGUAAUCCCAGCAGCUUGGGAGGCUGAGGUAGGAGGAUCACAAGUUCAAAGUCAGCUUCAGCAACUUAAUGGGACCCUGUCUCAA
rnacentral:sRNA from 1 species